GUACUGUGCGAACGUUAUUCGGAAUCACUGGGGCGUUAAAGGGGUGCGCAGGCGGCCGAUCAAGUCAGGUGUGAAAGUCCUCGGCUCAACCGAGGGAAUUGCGCUUGAAACUGAUCGGCUUGAGUGAGAUAGGGGUGUGCGGAACUUCCAGUGGAGCGGUGAAAUGUGUUGAUAUUGGAAGGAACGCCGGUGGCGAAAGCGGCACACUGGGUCUCAACUGACGCUCAUGCACGAAAGCCAGGGUAGCGAACGGGAUUAGAUACCCCGGUAGUCCUGGCUGUAAACGAUGAGCACUAGACGAGAGGAGUUUCGACUCAUCUGGUCGCAGCGAAAGCAUUAAGUGCUCCGCCUGGGGAGUAUGGUCGCAAGGCUG
rnacentral:rRNA from 1 species